rnacentral:rRNA from 1 species
ACAAAACGCUGGCGGCGUGCUUAACACAUGCAAGUCGAACGGACUGAUUGGAAGGAAGUUUUCGGAUGGAAUUUCGAUCAGUUAGUGGCGGACGGGUGAGUAACGCGUGAGUAAUCUACCCUUUACACUGGGACAACAUCUGGAAACGGAUGCUAAUACCGGAUACGCUCGAAAGGUCUAAUGAACUUUUGAGGAAAGGUGGCCUCUGAACAUGCUACCGGUAAAGGAUGAGCUCGCGUCCGAUUAGCUAGUUGGUAGGGUAAAGGCCUACCAAGGCAACGAUCGGUAGCCGGCCUGAGAGGGUGGCCGGCCACACUGGGACUGAGACACGGCCCAGACUCCUACGGGAGGCAGCAGUGGGGAAUCUUCCGCAAUGGGCGAAAGCCUGACGGAGCAACGCCGCGUGAAUGAAGAAGGCCUUCGGGUCGUAAAGUUCUGUCUUUAGGGUAAGAACCGCCAUACCUGUGAUAAUUGGUAUGCCUGACGGUACCUAAGGAGGAAGCUCCGGCUAACUACGUGCC